GACGAACGCUGGCGGCGUGCUUAACACAUGCAAGUCGAGCGGUAAGGCCCUUUCGGGGGUACACGAGCGGCGAACGGGUGAGUAACACGUGGGUGACCUGCCCUCAGCUCUGGGAUAAGCCUGGGAAACCGGGUCUAAUACUGGAUAUGACUCCAUGACGCAUGUUGUGGGGUGGAAAGCCUUGUGCGGCUGAGGAUGGGCCCGCGGCCUAUCAGCUUGUUGGUGGGGUGAGGCCUACCAAGGCGACGACGGGUAGCCGGCCUGAGAGGGCGACCGGCCACACUGGGACUGAGACACGGCCCAGACUCCUACGGGAGGCAGCAGUGGGGAAUCUUGCGCAACGGGCGAAAGCCUGACGCAGCGACGCCGCGUGA
rnacentral:rRNA from 1 species